UCCCCUAAUCUCCUCUCUCUCUCUCUCUCUCUCUCUCUUUCUCUCUCAAAAACCCUAAUUUGUUAACUGCCUCAGCCCAUAGCUCAAAACCCUAGGAAUCAAAGAAGAUGUUGAGGGAAGGGAAUGUUCUAUUCUCACACCUUUCUCGCAAAAAAGAGCCCCCUAGGGAUCGUAUGGAUCGCUGCUCACUUGGAGCGAAAGAUCAAAAAACACCAGCUCAACGAAAUCGAUGUCGCCUUUUAUGCUGUGAACCUGAUAAUCACCGGAAACGACAUGAUCAGAUUACUAUUCAAGGCUCUAUUCAAAGAUCUAACAGAAGACGAUCUUUCAUAUCUCAGGUUUCAGUUUAAGUUAUUAGAACCUAAUAAAGAUGGAUGUGUCUCAUUUGAGAACUUCCGAAUGAAAACCCUGAGCUGAAGAAUCUAUCGACAUUGAAGAAUUCAGAUGACGAGGAAGAAAACCUCUGCGUUUCUUUGAGGCUCUGGGACCAAGAGCCUAAAAGGCAACGGUCUGAGCCUCCUUCGUGUAGGCAGUGAUUCACCGAAAUGAAGAGCUCAUUAUGAAAAUAUGAAGAUUGGAGCAUUCUGAGCCAUGCCAGGACCACCGUCCUCCAUUAAGAUGCAGUGCUCCUCAAAAGUUGAAAAGCAUGUGGAAAAAUGGAAGAAGAUUGAAAAAAUAGAUGUGGAGAACUUGAUGAAAAGAAUGCAUAAUAAGUUUGAAUUUGACAUGUCGCUCCCUCGGGUCCAGGGAUAUGUAAUUACAAUAUGUCAGGCCGUAUAUUGUAAUUUUCGUUAUAAGUUGAAGAAACAUUUUGAGCAGUUUUCAACAAUUGAGGAGGCAAUUAAAAACAAACAUGAAGCUGUCAAGACUCUGGAAGAAUGAGAGUUUCUUUGCACUCAUUUUUCUAGUAAAAAGUUUAAGAUUCGCUCAGAGAAGAAUGUUCUUAAUAGGUCAAAGUUGACAUAUCACCACAGCUGGGUUAAAAUCAUUUAUGUCACACCAAGAGCAAAUUGUAAACACUUUUUAUUGCUUAUAAUUUUGGAACUUAAUUGUGUACAUAUAUAUAUGUUGAAAAAGAAAAUAUGUUUGAAUGCAAUAGACAGCACAGACUAAAGAGAUGCAAGGUGCAAUUGAUCGUUUUGAAACAUAGCAUAGAAGCACAAAAAAGGAUGGGACUUGGGAGCAAAGGAAAAAUAGGAUCAAAUGAUAAAGAUGCGAGCAGAUACCACUCAACCUGAUGGAACUCGAACAAUGACAGAUAAGGAAAUUUGUGCAAAAGUUCUCAAAGUCAAAUCAGGCUACAUUAUAAGGGCUGUGGUUUUGGCCCUAGACCACCACCAUUAAUGUUCUCUCGUUCUUUAAUGAGUAAAAUGUCUAAAAAGAAUAAAGAGUUGCAAGAGCAGCUUCAAGAGACCCAACAACUUGUAGGAACUCAACAACAAAAGAUCAAUGCGCAAAAUGAGGUAAUCCAAAGAUUGGAGGAGCAAGCCAAAAAGUUUGAGGAGUUUAUGGCUAAUUUUUCUAGGCAACAUCCAUCAGCUUAGUAUUCUUAGUGAACUUAAACUUGGAGAAAUGUUUCUUUGAUCAUGUUGCAUUUGUUAUUGCUUUAGACAAGCAUUGUUACUUAUGGUAGAAACUUAUUUGCUUUAUUUAUUUUAA